GUAUAAUACAUUACCAUUGUGCUUCAUUUGGUUGGUGUGAUGGAAAAUUAGGAGGAAUGAGAAGGUUGAGGGAUAUAGUUAAAUAAUGAUUUCACAGUUGAACAUUUAGAUUGUGGUGAACUAGGUUUUCAUAGGAGUUACAUCAUGAACUUUUCAGAUUGUGGAAUUUUGGCGCUUCAUAUUAUUUCUUAUUCCCUAUCCGAAGUAAAACAUCACGAGUUAAAAUGAAGACUCAAAACUCUGUUAGUACAACACUUGUUAGCGGGUGUUGCAUAUUUGAAAAUGUUGCUAUCCCUAGUGCUUAAUUGACUGCAUUAGUUAGGAAUUGACUUGCAUCCUAACAGAAGCUCGUAUAAAUGCUAACUAUUUUUUAUUUAUGUUGAAGGUUAAACUCUACUCAAAGCAUAAUAGGAAAACCAACUGAGCAGAUUGAAGCAGACAUAAGGCUCGCCAAGUACUUUAGUCCAAGUGAAGCAGUUGAAUAUGGCAUUAUUGAUAAGGCAAAAUAGCAUCUGGAAGGAACGGAGUAGCUGAUUUGACUUCUAUGAGGCGGAUCAGAUUGGGAAACUAAAGGUGAAAGUCAUUUGCAAGUGCACUAGGGUUUCAGUUUCCUUACUUGUUUCAGCCUCCUUUUGGGGAAUUUACACUUUUUACACACUCAGCUUGCUUCAAUGAGGACAAUUUCAAACUGAAUACAAGAAGAGCUCAAAAACUUCUAACAUGAAUUUGCCAUAUCUGAACCUUUUUUUUAAAAAAAAAUUGCUUAUUCACAUCUCACCCAUUUUUUUCUUUUUUUAUUUUUCCUUUCAAAAUCUCUAUUCAAAUCUAUAAUUCAAACAUAGCUUAAGAUUUAUCAACAAAAAACAAUCACCACAACUUGUUCAGUGCUCCUCAUUUUCUUCUUAUUCUCACUUUUCUUGUUCAUGCACACAUUACACAAGCAUAUUAUUUACUAUUAAGGCAACCACUUACAUAGGUAAUGUAUUAGGAAACUUUUUUUAUAUAAUACAUUAAUGUCACUAGAUUAAAAAUGGUCUCGACCUCUCUUAAUGCUAAUGAUGGGAAUGAUGAGGAAUUAAGAUCCUCCACGGAAUUAAAUUUAAUCUUAUAAAUUUUAAAAUUCUUAAAUUAGUAUUUCAAUCUCAUUUGCUAAGAGGUUCCCAAAUGGAUGGCCAGGAUUAGAAAUCACCUACUCCAAAUGUGACACAAAAUUGGCUUCACCAAUCUUUUUUCUUUUUCUUUUUUUGGGGUUGUUGGCUACAUAUUUUGUAAAAGCCAAUUACAAUUCAACACGUGGCAGAAUAAAGGUUAUACAGGAAGAAUGUUUAAGUCUUCGAUCAUGAUCGUACACGUGGCAGUUGAUAUUGUUUAUUGCGUGGUCCGAGUGACAUUGGAUCAGCAAAGAGAUACAAGGUGACGUGGCUUCAACGGUUACUCACAUUCAAAUUCAAAUAUAGGAGGGAAGCCCAACUGCAAGUGAUGGCGUAGUGGAACUACUUAUAAGGCAGCAUGAU